GCUUGCUUGUUGCCAGCCUGACCUCACUGAUGAGUUCCAGGCUAAUAAGAGUAUCCGUUUCAAAAAAGAUAGAUGAUGUUCCUGAGGAUGACAGUUGAGAUUUUUCUCCAGCCUCCAUAGACAUGUGCACAUACAUGUACCGCAUCUGUGCACAUGUGAACGUAGAAGUUAUGUCUCUUUAGGACAAAGAAACCCUGACAGCAAGCUGUGGAUGUAUUUCCUAAGGACAUGGCUGUAUGUGGGACACAAAGUUAUCUCCCACUUCCCAAUCAUCUUCAAAUUUGCUUACAAAAGAGGAUACACUUCAUUAAUCUCUGCUUCCCAUGGUGGGACUUACAUUCAAAACUUCAAGACGAUAAUCUUCAAUGACAAUCUGCUCCCGCUUUCUCUCUGAGGUCCAUGAAAGGGCUCAUUAAGAAGGUCUGAGAUACUUAAGCUUUUCGUAUUCCAAGGAGACGGUGAACCAUCCCUCCAAGUUUGGGGUUCUGCAAGGGUAGGGAACGGACGCCUCUUAUUCCCAGCUGCAGACUUAAACAUCAAGUUUAAGACACAGCAGGACUUGAGUAAACAUUAUAUAACGCACAGUGGGAGAAUGGUCCGAAAUAAUCUCGGAUUAGGAGGACAAAGAGCCAAGCUCAAGAUGCCAUCCAAGGUUGAAAAGGCAAGUCCCUCAAAUUCUGAUAUACCAGCAUAUUUCAAAGUCGGCAAGCUUUUCAUGGAAAAGUAAGGCUGGUGAGGUUUCUGGAAUGUAUGCUCGUUCAACAUCACCUGCUAAAAAUGGACCCUACUGCCCCACUUGCGGAAGCUCGGACUCAACGGCACCUUCUGUCUGAAGGGGUCAGAACUGAAUAUCUGAGGUUUCUCAGAGGGUGGGAGAAUGACGGAAGUCAGGGCAGGGAAGGAGACUAGAAAACCUAA